GAGUUUGAUCCUGGCUCAGAUUGAACGCUGGCGGCAGGCCUAACACAUGCAAGUCGAGCGGAUGACGGGAGCUUGCUCCUUGAUUCAGCGGCGGACGGGUGAGUAAUGCCUAGGAAUCUGCCUGGUAGUGGGGGACAACGUUUCGAAAGGAACGCUAAUACCGCAUACGUCCUACGGGAGAAAGCAGGGGACCUUUGGGCCUUGCGCUAUCAGAUGAGCCUAGGUCGGAUUAGCUAGUUGGUGGGGUAAUGGCUCACCAAGGCGACGAUCCGUAACUGGUCUGAGAGGAUGAUCAGUCACACUGGAACUGAGACACGGUCCAGACUCCUACGGGAGGCAGCAGUGGGGAAUAUUGGACAAUGGGCGAAAGCCUGAUCCAGCCAUGCCGCGUGUGUGAAGAAGGUCUUCGGAUUGUAAAGCACUUUAAGUUGGGAGGAAGGGCAGUAAGUUAAUACCUUGCUGUUUUGACGUUACCGACAGAAUAAGCACCGGCUAACUCUGUGCCAGCCGCCG
rnacentral:rRNA from 1 species